rnacentral:rRNA from 1 species
UACGGAGGGUGCAAGCGUUAUCCGGAUUCACUGGGUUUAAAGGGUGCGUAGGAGGGCAGGUAAGUCAGUGGUGAAAUCCUAGAGCUUAACUCUAGAACUGCCGUUGAUACUAUCUGUCUUGAAUAUUGUGGAGGUGAGCGGAAUAUGUCAUGUAGCGGUGAAAUGCUUAGAUAUGACAUAGAACACCAAUUGCGAAGGCAGCUGGCUACACGAAUAUUGACACUGAGGCACGAAAGCGUGGGGAUCAAACAGG